GUUUCAGUUAACUACUGCUGCUAGAAAUUACAUGAUCUGUGACAGAUGAUAUGUGCUCGUGCUCAGUGUUCUCUGGUUUUCAGUUUCAGUUAACUUCUGCUGCUAGAAAUUACAUGAUCUGUGAUAGAUGAUACGUAUUCAUGUCUACCUUUUUUUCUUUUCAUAUUAUAGAUAUUUUAGUAAUUACAUCAACCUCUCCAUGAAGAUUGGGGUGGAUGGUUCAAGAUUCAAAGGCGAUAUGUAGGGCGAUAUACUGAAUUCGGUCAGCUAAAACACUGAUAAUGCUAUGAUUUGUUUUGAUUUUUUCUCUGCUUAUGCAUAAAAUGUUCUGAUUUAAAUAUUAAGAACUACGCAGUGGCUUGAUCCUAAUCUUCUGAACAUUGGGUACGUAGGCAGCUGUUUAUACUAGACCGUAUCGGUGCAGCCACAAAGUCUUUUUUUUUCCCCCCCUUCUUGUAGUGUGAAUGCAUUUUCAUCAGGACUACUUGGCAAUAAGAGUGAGGUGGAUCAAUAUAGCAGCAAUCUUCAAUCGGAUGCAGUGUUGGCUGCCGAGAACAUUUCCAAGUUGCAGAAGGAAAAGAACAUAAUGUGGAAAUCUAAGCAACUUGAGGGCUCAUAAUGGUUUGUUACAAGAACAAUUGAAUUCUUCCAUGGGACUGAUCUCGUGUCGAAGAGGGUGCAUCCAAUAGGCAGAUCAUCAUCCAUAGUUCUACAACUCAUCGAGUCUACCUAAAACCAGGCCAUAAACUCAACAAAUUGACUUGACUAAAGUCACGGGACUCUUCCUAAUCAUUUUUU